GCACGCCUGUCGGGACCCGAAAGAUGGUGAACUAUGCCUGAGCGGGGCGAAGCCAGAGGAAACUCUGGUGGAGGCUCGAAGCGAUACUGACGUGCAAAUCGUUCGUCUGACUUGGGAUUAGGGGCGAAAGACUAAUCGAACCAUCUAGUAGCUGGUUCCCUCCGAAGUUUCCCUCAGGAUAGCUGGAGCCCAUUACGAGUUCUAUCAGGUAAAGCCAAUGAUUAGAGGCAUUGGGGACGCAACGUCCUCGACCU
rnacentral:ncRNA from 1 species